rnacentral:lncRNA from 1 species
CUUACCUUAACUGAUGACAUUACCUUGUGAAAGUCCUUUUCCUGGCUCAUCCUGGCCCAAAAAGCACCCCCACUGAGCACCUUGCAACUGAGACUGUGAGAGAUUGAAUCAUUUGCCCAAUGUCACCUGGUUAGAAUGGGGCAGAGUGGGGAUGGGACUCUCACAGAUGGACUCCAUAGUCUGUACCAUGACUUCUUAGCUGCUUUUCCUGGACCUUGUAUACAGAUGUCUCCCUGGAAUUCUAAACCUCAUAAGGAAAGAAGCUGUGCUGGGAAAGACAGGAAGGAAGCACAGAGAAAAGCAAAUGAACACAAACUGUUGGAGAGGAAAAGCCACUAUUGAAGAGGCUGCCAGGAAAUAUGAGAGACUUUCCCUACCCCGAUGCUAUGAUUUUUGUCCUAGUUUGAACUGUACCCAGA